CUUGGUUCCAAAUCAAAGGAACACUGAUUUAAGAGGUCUCAAGUGAAGCCUGAAUAUCCUAAUUUCUAACUAGCUCUCCAGUGAUGCUGAUGCUACUGGUACAUGGACCGCCCUUGGGAGUACAUUUCCUCAGUAAAGACCUGAUGCCCUGGCAGGCUGAAGAACUGUAACCAGCCGGUCACUCUCUCGGACACCUGCACACCUCCACUUACCUGAGGAUUGUACGCUUAUCAAGUCAGUUGUGUCCACCGACAGACCACGUGUUGAAGACAGUUA